CCUACGGGGGGCAGCAGUGGGGAAUAUUGGACAAUGGGGGGAACCCUGAUCCAGCCAUGCCGCGUGUGUGAAGAAGGCCUUUUGGUUGUAAAGCACUUUAAGCGAGGAGGAGGAGCUCUAGACUAAUACUCUAGAUGCUUGGACGUUACUCGCAGAAUAAGCACCGGCUAACUCUGUGCCAGCAGCCGCGGUAAUACAGAGGGUGCAAGCGUUAAUCGGAUUUACUGGGCGUAAAGCGUGCGUAGGUGGUCUUUUAAGUCGGAUGUGAAAUCCCUGAGCUUAACUUAGGAAUUGCAUUCGAUACUGGGAGACUAGAGUAUGGGAGAGGAUGGUAGAAUUCCAGGUGUAGCGGUGAAAUGCGUAGAGAUCUGGAGGAAUACCGAUGGCGAAGGCAGCCAUCUGGCCUAAUACUGACACUGAGGUACGAAAGCAUGGGGA
rnacentral:rRNA from 1 species